CCAAUAGCGUAUAUUAAAGUUGUUGCAGUUAAAAAGCUCGUAGUUGAAUUUCGGGGUUAGCAGGUCGGUCGUGCCAUUGGUAUGAACUGGUCUCGCUGAUCCCCCCCUCUUGAAGAACUGUGAUGCCAUUAAUUUGGUGUUGCAGGGAAUCAGGACUGUUACUUUGAAAAAAUUAGAGUGUUUAAAGCAGGCUUACGCUUGAAUACAUUAGCAUGGAAUAAUGAAAUAGGACGUUUGAUCCUAUUUUGUUGGUUUCUAGGAUUGACGUAAUGAUUAAUAGGGAUGGUUGGGGGCAUUAGUAUUCAAUUGUCAGAGGUGAAAUUCUUGGAUUUAUUGAAGACUAACUACUGCGAAAGCAUUUGCCAAGGAUGUUUUCAUUAAUCAAGAACGAAAGUUAGGGGAUCGAAGACGAUCAGAUACCGUCGUAGUCUUAACCAUAAACUAUGCCGACUAGGGAUCGGAUGAUGUUAAUUUUUUAAUGACUCAUUCGGCGCCUUACG
rnacentral:rRNA from 1 species